UAUUAUAUUAUAUUUAAAGGCUAUGAAUGAGAGUAGUAUUAGUUAUUGUCUUGAAACUCAAAGAAUUUGGCGGUGUCUUAGUCCUUUUAGAGGAAUCUGUCCUGUAAUUGAUAGUACACGAUUUUUUAAACUUUCUUUGGUUUUCAGUUUGUAUACCGCCGUUAUAAGAUUAUUCUAAUAAGGAUUUAAAAUUUCUUUAUUUUAUGACAGAGUUUAUUUCAGGUCAAGGUGCAGCUUAUGGGGGAGGAGAAGAUGGAUUACAUUGAUUUAAAUUAUAUGAAUUAAUAUUAAUAUUUUGYUUUAYGAAGGUGGAUYUAAUACUAAAYUUAANGNCAYMAUUUUAUUUUGAAUUGGGCUCUAGGAUGUGCACMCMUCGCCCGUCKCUCUC
rnacentral:rRNA from 1 species